rnacentral:rRNA from 1 species
UACGAGAGGUGCAAACGUUAUUCGGAUUUAUUGGGCGUAAAGGGUGUGUAGGCGGUCUAUUAAGUCUACUGUUAAAUUUCUCGGCUUAACCGAGAGCAAGCGGUAGAUACUGAUGAACUAGAGGAUGGAAGAGAGAAGUGGAAUUCUUGGAGUAGCGGUAAAAUGCGUAGAUCUCAAGAGGAACACCGAUGGCGAAGGCAGCUUCUUGGUCCAUUCCUGACGCUGAGACACGAAAGCGUGGGGAGCAAACAGG